rnacentral:rRNA from 1 species
ACAGCCAGGAUGUUGGCUUAGAAGCAGCCAUCAUUUAAAGAAAGCGUAAUAGCUCACUGGUCGAGUCGGCCUGCGCGGAAGAUGUAACGGGGCUAAACCAUGCACCGAAGCUGCGGCAGCGACGCUGAUGCGUUGUUGGGUAGGGGAGCGUUCUGUAAGCCUGCGAAGGUGGCCUGUGAGGGUUGCUGGAGGUAUCAGAAGUGCGAAUGCUGACAUAAGUAACGAUAAAGCGGGUGAAAAGCCCGCUCGCCGGAAGACCAAGGGUUCCUGUCCAACGUUAAUCGGGGCAGGGUGAGUCGACCCCUAAGGCGAGGCCGAAAGGCGUAGUCGAUGGGAAACGGGUUAAUAUUCCCGUACUUGGUGUUACUGCGAAGGGGGGACGGAGAAGGCUAUGUUGGCCGGGCGACGGUUGUCCCGGUUUAAGCGUGUAGGUGUGUGUUCCAGGUAAAUCCGGUUCACUUUAACACUGAGGCGUGAUGACGAGGCACUACGGUGCUGAAGCAACAAAUGCCCUGCUUCCAGGAAAAGCCUCUAAGCAUCAGGUAACAUCAAAUCGUACCCCAAACCGACACAGGUGGUCAGGUAGAGAAUACCAAGGCGCUUGAGAGAACUCGGGUGAAGGAACUAGGCAAAAUGGUGCCGUAACUUCGGGAGAAGGCACGCUGACACGUAGGUGAAGUGAUUUACUCAUGGAGCUGAAGUCAGUCGAAGAUACCAGCUGGCUGCAACUGUUUAUUAAAAACACAGCACUGUGCAAACACGAAAGUGGACGUAUACGGUGUGACGCCUGCCCGGUGCCGGAAGGUUAAUUGAUGGGGUCAGCGCAAGCGAAGCUCCUGAUCGAAGCCCCGGUAAACGGCGGCCGUAACUAUAACGGUCCUAAGGUAGCGAAAUUCCUUGUCGGGUAAGUUCCGACCUGCACGAAUGGCGUAAUGAUGGCCAGGCUGUCUCCACCCGAGACUCAGUGAAAUUGAACUCGCUGUGAAGAUGCAGUGUACCCGCGGCAAGACGGAAAGACCCCGUGAACCUUUACUAUAGCUUGACACUGAACAUUGAGCCUUGAUGUGUAGGAUAGGUGGGAGGCUUUGAAGUGUGGACGCCAGUCUGCAUGGAGCCGACCUUGAAAUACCACCCUUUAAUGUUUGAUGUUCUAACGUGGACCCGUGAUCCGGGUUGCGGACAGUGUCUGGUGGGUAGUUUGACUGGGGCGGUCUCCUCCUAAAGAGUAACGGAGGAGCACGAAGGUUGGCUAAUCCUGGUCGGACAUCAGGAGGUUAGUGCAAUGGCAUAAGCCAGCUUGACUGCGAGCGUGACGGCGCGAGCAGGUGCGAAAGCAGGUCAUAGUGAUCCGGUGGUUCUGAAUGGAAGGGCCAUCGCUCAACGGAUAAAAGGUACUCCGGGGAUAACAGGCUGAUACCGCCCAAGAGUUCAUAUCGACGGCGGUGUUUGGCACCUCGAUGUCGGCUCAUCACAUCCUGGGGCUGAAGUAGGUCCCAAGGGUAUGGCUGUUCGCCAUUUAAAGUGGUACGCGAGCUGGGUUUAGAACGUCGUGAGACAGUUCGGUCCCUAUCUGCCGUGGGCGCUGGAGAACUGAGGGGGGCUGCUCCUAGUACGAGAGGACCGGAGUGGACGCAUCACUGGUGUUCGGGUUGUCAUGCCAAUGGCACUGCCCGGUAGCUAAAUGCGGAAGAGAUAAGUGCUGAAAGCAUCUAAGCACGAAACUUGCCCCGAGAUGAGUUCUCCCUGAGACUUUAGGUCUCCUGAAGGAACGUUGAAGACGACGACGUUGAUAGGCCGGGUGUGUAAGCGCAGCGAUGCGUUGAGCUAACCGGUACUAAUGAACCGUGAGGCUUAACCUUACAACGCCGAAG